rnacentral:rRNA from 1 species
UACGAAGGGGGCUAGCGUUGCUCGGAAUUACUGGGCGUAAAGCGCACGUAGGCGGUCUUUUAAGUCGGGGGUGAAAUCCUGGAGCUCAACUCCAGAACUGCCUUCGAUACUGGCGAUCUUGAGUCCGGAAGAGGUGAGUGGAACUCCUAGUGUAGAGGUGGAAUUCGUAGAUAUUAGGAAGAACACCGGUGGCGAAGGCGGGUCCCUGGGCCGAUACUGACGCUGAGGAGCGAAAGCGUGGGGAGCGAACAGG